CAGGCUUGCGAUAUAUUUGACAUUUGUUUGAAUCGAAUAGAAUGUUUUCCUACCCCGCAAGAACGGGCUGAUGGGUUCACUAAUACACUCACAUGAUUUCGGACAGCACUAACACAUACGCACAUUUUGUUGUUGAAGAAGCAUGUAGUUGAACGUAUUAUCCAAUUUUAUUUGUUCUUAUUUUCGAGUAGAACGCCAUUUUUUCGUUUUCUCCGCAGCAGAUAGAAGUGAAAAAUAUAUGAUGAGGAUCAUGUGCGAGCUGUGGUAUUAAUAUUUUGUCGAUUAAUUAAUAUUGUUUUUAUUUAAGGGUACUCAAUAUUGUACGGAAAAUUCUGUUAACGGCGCAGGUUGAGUAGAAUGGACGCUUCACAUCUUGCAGCAGCAGCACAUCUCAAAAAUAUUCAAGAAAACUUUGCAAGAUGUCUUUAUAUGUACUUCAAAGGAGAUGCGAUUAUGACGAAGGCGUUCGUGGAGCUGAAUCACCAAGACACGACACUAUUAAAGACUGCAUAUACGGUUUUGCUUACAAUAUUUUGCAGAUUUUUGAAAAUGAAUUUAUUGUUGCAUUAUUAUUUUUUUGAAUGCUAUAUAAACCAUGUAAAUGAUCUAUGUAAAAUAUUGGAAUAAAGACUGAACC